rnacentral:rRNA from 1 species
UUGACCUCGGAUCAGGUAGGGAUACCCGCUGAACUUAAGCAUAUCAAUAAGCGGAGGAAAAGAAACCAACCGGGAUUGCCCUAGUAACGGCGAGUGAAGCGGCAAGAGCUCAAAUUUGAAAGCUGGCCCCCUCGGGGUCCGCAUUGUAAUUUGCAGAGGAUGCUUCGGGAGCGGUCCCCAUCUAAGUGCCCUGGAACGGGCCGUCAUA